rnacentral:snRNA from 1 species
GUAUAAUAGUUUCUACAUCCAUCCAUUUAUCUGCAAAUUUCAUUAUUUCAUCUUUCUUUACUGCUGAAUACAACUAUUCAGCCGAUCUGGCUGGCUAGGCGGGUGUCCCUUUCCCCCCACAAUGCUCCACGUGAGUCCUUCUCUAAGCCACAUGCUAGGUUGAAGACAGGAGGACCGGUCUUCGGUCAAGGGUAUCGGUCAAGGGUAUACGAGUAGCUGCGCUGCCCUGCUAGAACCUCCAAACAAGAUUUCAAGAUCAUCUGUCUUUAGACUUUACUUACAUUCAAAACUGAUCCUGUAGAGGUGUUU